rnacentral:lncRNA from 1 species
ACAUUCACCACCGCGUGACGCGGCGCCGGGUCGCCGCCGCAGAUUCGACACAAAACCCGGAAGGACCCCGCCGAAGGUUUUCUCCGGUUCGGGAGAGAGACGGAGUCCCGCUCUGUCACGCAGGCUGCCAGGCUGGCGUACAGUGGCGCAAUCUCAGCUCGCUGCAACCUCCACCUCCUGGGUUCAAGCGAUUUUCUUGCCUCUGCCUCCUGAGUAGCUGGGAUUACUGGCACACACCACCAUGCACAGUUCCUUGUUCAAAAUGCCAAGAACCUGGAUGACUCAUAGUCAAGACCCUCCACCAGUAACAUAUAUUGGCGAGCCAGCCAGGAGCUUGGAACCCUCGGUGGACAGUGCCUAAGCACAGAGGCAACCACAGGUUUCUAACAGGGCCACUCUCUGGUGAAACUGAAAGGUUUCUGUGUGAAAGUGCCUGACCACCACUGCCCAAUUCAGACCACUACAGGAAACACUCCAUUUAUUCCACCUGACUUCCCACUUGGCUGCAUCCUCAACCAUUGAAAUGAAUUUGACCCUGAUAAUCUAAGGAGGAAACAUUUGAUAUUCUUUUGCAAUAAUACUUGGCCCCAGUAUUGUUUGGAAUCUGGAGUUUGCUGUUGAAUGGGAAAGCAGGAUGACGUUGC